UUCAAAGUAGUUUAGAUUCCCUUAGAUGUCGCUAUCUUAUUAUCUUCUACUGGAUUACUGAGUAGUAGGAGCAGCACGUGCAAGAGCCAAGAGAUUAUGAUACCCACACCGUUCUAUGUUUGGUAGACACGGCCUAGUCUAGAGAAAAUGGUGGAGCAAAAUGUAUUUAGGACUUCUAUUUUGCUAACUUUCUUCGUUGGCUUCUUGCUUGGCUACAAAACCAAAGAAUGGAGGAUUCGCAUAUCCAAGUGGAGGCGAGAUAGGCUGGCUAAAAAGCUGGCCGAUGCACAGAAGCACUUGGACCUACUUGCUCCGACCAUAUAACCCAAAUUCAAGUUCUUUUCAAUUCUCUAUGGACGAUUUCCAAUAUGAAGAAAUAUUUUAAAUACAAACGUUUAUUAUGAACAACUA